rnacentral:lncRNA from 1 species
AGGAAUUUACUUACAUUGUCUUUGGGACUUUAAAAGUCUUUGAAGAGAUGGGGUCCUGCUGGUCUCAAGCUCCUGGGCUCAAGUGACCCUCCUUACAUCAGCUUCCGGAAUAGCUGGGACUCCAGGCUUAGGAGUGGAAUUGUAAUAACUUUCUGAAGAGCUUCCAGACUGUUUUCAACAGCAACCACACAUGAAGGUUCCAUUUUCUGCACAUCCUUGCCAACACGUAUUUUCCUACUUUUUGAUUCUAGCCAUCUUAACAGGUAUGACAUGGUUUUGAUUGGCAUUAAUGACACU